rnacentral:rRNA from 1 species
CCCUUAGAUGUUCUGGGCCGCACGCGCGCUACACUGACGAUGGCAACGAGUUUUUCCUUCGCCGAAAGGUGUGGGUAAUCUUUUGAAACAUCGUCGUGCUGGGGAUAGAUCAUUGCAAUUUUUGAUCUUGAACGAGGAAUUCCUAGUAAGCGCGAGUCAUCAGCUCGCGUUGAUUACGUCCCUGCCCUUUGUACACACCGCCCGUCGCUACUAUCGAUUGAAUGGUUUAGUGAGGACUCCUGAUUGGCGCCGCCGCCCCGGCAACGGAGCAGCGGACUGCCGAAAAGUUGUUCAAACUUGAUCAUUUAGAGGAAGUAAAAGUCGUAACA